rnacentral:RNase_P_RNA from 1 species
GAAGUUCGCCAGGCAGCCGCUGUGAGCGCAAGCUCAUGGAGGAAAGUCCGGGCCCCGCAGGGCAAGAUGCCGGCUAACGGCCGGGCGCUAUAAGUUGCCAGACGCAAGUCGGGCAAUCCAAGGCGACAGACAGUGCAACAGAAAGAUACCGCCGAUGGCUCGCCCGGACUUUGACGCCGUAAGGCGGCAAAGUCCCCAUGAGUGGGGAAGAAGCUUUGACGCCGUAAGGCGGCAAAGUCUCCAUGAGUAGGGGAAGAUGCUUUGACGCCGCAAGGCGGCAAAGUCCCCUUUAGUGGGCAGGGCGAGACAGGUAAGGGUGAAAUGGUGGCGUGCCGCAAGGCGUGCUGCGGUCGCGCAAGCGAGCGCAGGGUAAGAGCCCACCGCGUUUCCGGUAACGGAAACGGCACGGCAAACCUCAUCUGGGGCAAGGCCAAAUAGGGGAGUAAUGGCGUGGCCCGCGUCGCUCCCGGGUAGGCUGCUAAUGACUAUCGGCGACGGUAGUCGACGAGGCUGGCGGUAACGUCAGUCCCAGAGGAAUGGCUGCCCACGACAGAACCCGGCUUAUCGGCGGACUUCCCAC